rnacentral:misc_RNA from 1 species
GGGAAAAGAAGGGGUAGGUUCUGCUGGUCAGGAAGGUCACUUGUGUACAGCUGCAGCAGAGCUUGAGAAUCAAGCUAGUAUCAGCAAUUUAAAUGGGUUAAGUCGUGGAAAGAGCGAGCAGAAAAGCCUACCAAUUGAUGUUCAAAGCAGUGGUGCAGCAUUGGGCACAAAAGGUUUAGAUUCAGAAUCUUCUCGCACUCAGGCUAUCCAUAGUCUGGAUCGAAAUACUAAUGAUAAUGAGACGUUUACCAACCCAACAAACUUAGACUCAAAUGGUGACUUGAAGGAACAACUGUUGGUGCCAGAGGGAACACCAGUUAUAGAAAGCAAUCUUAAAGAACAGAAAGAGGUGAAAG